rnacentral:rRNA from 1 species
GGCUCAGAACGAACGUGGGCGGCGUGGAUUAGGCAUGCAAGUCGAACGAAUCCCUGAGGGCUUGCUUUCAGGGGAAAGUGGCGAAAGGGGCAGUAAGGCGUGGGUAACCUACCCUGGGGUCCGGUAUAGCCGUCCUAACGGACGGGUAAUCCCGGGCGAUGUAACGUGGUCGCAUGGCCGUGUUACCAAAGGUUUACCGCCCGAGGAGGGGCCCACGUGGUAUUAGCUUGUUGGCGAGGUAACGGCUCACCAAGGCCAAGAUGCCUAGCGGGUGUGAGAGCACGACCCGCGCCACUGGCACUGAGACACUGGCCAGACUCCUACGGGAGGCUGCAGUCGAGGAUCUUCGGCAAUGGGCGCAAGCCUGACCGAGCGACGCCGCGUGUGCGAUGAAGGCCUUCGGGUUGUAAAGCACUGUCGAGGGGGAGGAAAGUCCGCAAGGACCUGACCUAUCCCUGGAGGAAGCACGGGCUAAGUUCGUGCCAGCAGCCGCGGUAAGACGAACCGUGCGAACGUUGUUCGGAUUCACUGGGCUUAAAGGGCGCGUAGGCGGGCUUGCAAGUCAGGGGUGAAAUCCUCCGGCUCAACCGGAGAACAGCCUUUGAUACUGCGAGCCUCGAGGAAGGUAGGGGCAUGUGGAACUUCCGGUGGAGCGGUGAAAUGCGUAGAUAUCGGAAGGAACGCCGGUGGCGAAAGCGACGUGCUGGACCUUUUCUGACGCUGAGGCGCGAAAGCCAGGGGAGCAAACGGGAUUAGAUACCCCGGUAGUCCUGGCCCUAAACGAUGGGUACUAGAUUGUAGACUGACAUGGGUUUACAGUCGAAGCAAAAGUGAUAAGUACCCCGCCUGGGGAGUAUGGUCGCAAGGCUGAAACUCAAAG